rnacentral:pre_miRNA from 1 species
GAUAUACUUCCUCUGUUCGGAAUUACUUGUCUUGAAAAUGGAUGUAUCUAGAAGUAAAAUACAUUUAGAUACAUCCAUUUUUGCAACAAGUAAUUCCGAACGAAGGGAAUACAUC